rnacentral:rRNA from 1 species
AACGAACGCUGGCGGCAUGCCUAACACAUGCAAGUCGAACGAGACCUUCGGGUCUAGUGGCGCACGGGUGCGUAACGCGUGGGAAUCUGCCCUUGGGUUCGGAAUAACAGUUGCAAACGACUGCUAAUACCGGAUGAUGACGUAAGUCCAAAGAUUUAUCGCCCAAGGAUGAGCCCGCGUAGGAUUAGCUAGUUGGUGAGGUAAAGGCUCACCAAGGCGACGAUCCUUAGCUGGUCUGAGAGGAUGAUCAGCCACACUGGGACUGAGACACGGCCCAGACUCCUACGGGAGGCAGCAGUGGGGAAUAUUGGACAAUGGGCGAAAGCCUGAUCCAGCAAUGCCGCGUGAGUGAUGAAGGCCUUAGGGUUGUAAAGCUCUUUUACCCGGGAUGAUAAUGACAGUACCGGGAGAAUAAGCUCCGGCUAACUCCGUG